CGAGCGCACCCUCGCCUUUAGUUGCCGCGCAAGCGGAUCUCUAGAGGGACUGCCGGUGUUAAACCGGAGGAAGGUGGGGAUGACGUCAAGUCCUCAUGGCCUUUAUGACCAGGGCUACACACGUGCUACAAUGGCCGGUACAAAGCGUUGCCAACUCGCGAGAGGGAGCUAAUCGCAUAAAACCGGUCUCAGUUCAGAUUGGAGUCUGCAACUCGACUCCAUGAAGGCGGAAUCGCUAGUAAUCACGGAUCAGCACGCCGCGGUGAAUACGUUCCCGGGCCUU
rnacentral:rRNA from 1 species